GACGAACGCUGGCGGCGUGCUUAACACAUGCAAGUCGAACGGAAAGGCCCUGCUCUUGUGGGUUUCUCGAGUGGCGCACGGGUGAGUAACACGUGAGUAACCUGCCCUUGACCUUCGGGUAACUUCAGGAAACUCGGGCUAAUAUCCGAUAGGAUCUCCUGCUGCAUGGUGGUGGUUGGAAAGUUUCGGCGGUUGUGGAUGGUCUCGCGGGUUAUCAGCUUGUUGGUGUGGUAGUGGCUUACCAGGGUUUUGACGGGUAGGCGGCCUAAGAGGGUUAACGGGCACAUGGGGACUGAGGUACGGCCCAGAAUCCUACGGGAGGCAGCAGGGGGGAAUAUGGCGCAAUGGGCGGAAGCCAGAGACAGCAGCGCCGCGUGCGGGAUGACGGCCUUCGGGUGGUAAACCGCUGUCGCCUGUGACGAAGAGUGAGUGACGGUAAUGGGUAAAGAAGCAACGGCUAACUACGUG
rnacentral:rRNA from 1 species